UUUACAAAGAGCAUAUAAUCUGCCAAAAUACCUAAUCGCGUAGGUCUGUUAAGUUCAGACCCAUUCUUUAAAAAACAAAAGGAUGUCCAAGCGUG
rnacentral:sRNA from 10 species